rnacentral:sRNA from 1 species
GUUUCAAUUCCUCAUAGGCAGGCUAUCGGCUUGACGAGUAUCUUGAUAUUGACGCACAGUGGAUGG